AUGAAAUAGUCUAUUUUCCCCUCCCGUGCUCGGUUUCUCCUUCUCCCUGAGCUUCUUCUUCUCCACGCCGCUACCUGCUUUUCCCCGUCCCAAAUCCUAGGGUUUACCCAAGGCAAGGACACGACACGCCGCCAGCGUGCCCCGCCCUCAUCUGGUCAAGGGCGCGGCGGAGCAGGACUCCGGCACGUUCGGUGACCGGCUGGACUUCUGCAAGGCGAACCUGUUCACGGGGCGGGGCGCGGCGCGGAGGGCGGGGAGGAGUGCGAGGAGCCGUCGGUGGCGCAGGAGAGGAUCAUGCACCGGAUCAACUCCAAGAUGGCGCACAAGUCGUACCAGCUGGGGCAGCAGCUAUCGUUGCGGUGGACGACCGGCGUCGGGCCGCGGAUCGGGUGCGUGCGUGACUACCCGCCGGAGCUGCAGUUCCGGUUGCUGGAGGAUUCAGGCUUUGAAAUUGUGCCAAGUACAUUUGCGUUCGGUGGAGGAUUCGGGCUUUGAAAUUGUGCCAAAAACAGACACAGAAACAGAAUUUGAGCAACACUGACUGUCUGCUGUAAUCUAUAUACAACAGAAUUUGUACUGCAUCCUUAGUUUAGCGCAUCCCUCGCACCACGAGGAAAAUAUCAUGGAAUUGACAAGAGCAAGGCAGGAGAUAUGCUGGGAGCCAAAAUCAAUAGCGCCCAGACUGCAUGCAGAUAUAUAUAGCCUCAACAAGAUGAAUUGUGAGAUCGAGCUCCUUCAGUUUCAGCAUAAGCCCCCGCAUAAAUCAUCACCUUUGGAGCAGUGCUUAGUCCCAAACCAUUAAGAUUCUGUAACGGCUGAAAUUCUCCAAGCUCUGAAUCUCUGACGAUGAUGGGAUCCAGACACCCUGAAGAAACUACAUCCAGUUCAGUACAGUCAGGGGGUCUUCCAACCGUGUGUUUCUUCAUGGCAAGGUUUGCUAUUUGUUGUGUAUCAGUCCCAGCAAGUUGUAGUUUGGUUAUUCUUGUUCUUCAUUGUUAGUGAAGAAAAAUGACAAUGUAGUCCCAGGUCUGUGUACGUGAGGUUUUCAUGGUCCUUGAGCUGUUGUUACAUGCAGGGCCGUGCUUGCCAAGAAUCGAAACCGAUCCUCCUUGAAGAUGGUCCGGCCUCCAGUUCAUCUAUCGAAGGAUAGUAAUACUACUACUGCUGCAACUAUCUUGUUGUAUCGCUCUGCUUCCAUAUGCAAAACAAUGCAUUAACCUGUUCUUUUUUUUUUGCGGGAAAAAUAAUGCGUUGAUCAAUGUAUUCUCCAUUCCUGAUUGUCAUAUGUUUCGAAUUCAUAAGAUUAGCUAUAUGAAAGCCAUGGUGCAUAUAAUGUUUGUUUCAUUUCUUAGCGCAGUAGCUCUGGUAUGAAAGACUGACGAACAUGGGUGAAUAAGCUGGGAGGAACGGACAGCACAGGUAACAGUCCAAUCCCCUCUUAUUUUGUGGAGAAUUUUCAAUUCGUCUGACGUUUAGUUGAAUGAUUUGUCAAACUUUCAUUUGCUCAUUUGUUCUGUCUUUGUUUUUAUCUCUAUCGAGCAUGAUGUCCAACUUUUGUUGUCGUGGGGGCUUCUUGUAUGCAAGUAAGAGCAUGAUUUUGGAUCAUAGUGUUGAUUGGAUUGUGGAAAUUAUAGGAUGAUAAUAUUGUGUUGUUUUGAUCUGACCCUCGUGAGGGAUUAUAUAGAGUACAUGGUGGGGUAGAGACUUGGAGUACAAGACAAGACAAUUACCAAUUCUAUCUCUAACUCAAGCACAUUAUACUUCUAACAUUCCCCCCAAGCCGUAGUGCGAGUGAAGCGGACGAUUGCGACUGAAUUUGAAGUCUUGUCCUUUUUGCGCCAAUAUAUGCUGUUAAGAGGCACCCAUCUUGCUAAUUGGUGUGUCAAAUUUUACAUGGACAGUAUAGUUGUGUGAUUAUUGAGUGGUCCAGUGAGUAGUGUUGCUAUAUGCAAAGGAAUGAUAGAAUGAUGAGUUUGUAAAGUGAGUAAGGGCAUAUCAAUAAUUCAACCCGGAACCCGGGCUCAGAUGAACCCGGUGAACAGUACCACAAUUUACAAUAGAAACAAAGUUCACAAAAUUCGAAAUAUUUUUGUGGUGCACGAUGCUCCUGUGCGCGAACUCCAUGAUUUUUUUUGUGAAGUUUGGAUAUUCGAGGAGGUCGUGGCAAAAAAGACAAAAUCAGGCGUGAACAAUGUGAUUUCCAAAAGUUUCUCAGACAUUCGAGGCGUGAACAGUGUGAUUUUCAAAAAAGACAAAUUUCGGAUGUCCGAGAAACUUUUGAAAAUCGCACUAUUCAUACCUGAUCUUUUCUUUUUUGCCAUGAGCUCCUCGAAUAUCCAAACUUCACAAAAUUUUGCACAGUGUUCACGUACAGGAGCAUCUUACACCACAAAAUUGUUUUGGAAUUUUUAAAACUUCUUUCUAUUUUAAAUUGCCGUACUGUUCAGGCCCGGGCUCAUCUGAGCCCGGGAGCCAAAUCGCUGCUCUCCAUAUCGAUAGACUCAGUGCUCUACCUUCUGACAUAUAUAAGAAUGUGCGGAGUGUACUACUUAUGGAUGUAAAAAGGAAGUUUUCCUGAUACAUCCAUGUAAUGGUGGAUCGAUCGUAUGCUUAAUAAAGGUAAAAAUAUUUGUCUGGUUUUCCGCUCAUAGGUUGGUCAACUUUUUCUGGUGCCUUGGAUCUUUAUCCAAUUGGCAGGUAGUAUCUUUUAAUCAUCAUUAUUGAACAUAUAUAUGUUAGUUUGACUGAAUAUACUUGCACAAUACGUACUAAGUAGCCGUUUCUAUUCAACUAUAAUGUUUCACUAACAUGUUAAGCAACUGAUACAACUGACCCUGAGAUCCGAGAUCUAUUUUUUGUACUCAUCAGCACGAUAAUCUUUGGUGACCAAGAAUGAAAUUUGGAAUCAGACCUUUUUUUGGCAUUACAACAUAUGACACGGAAGGACAGCCUUUUCAUCCUCCACCAGUCGCCUACAGUAUUUUAUUUGUCAUCAACCAUUUCUAUGUUUAAUUCUCAUUUAUUGUGAAAUGAUUUAUUUGAGCACUUUAGCGAGCUACUCUUUGUUUUUGCAUUCAGUGACAAUGGGUAGGUGCAACCUUCGGAGAAAAGUGUGUCAAGGCAGCAAUUAUAGUUGGUAACAUGAGCUGCCCCAGUCGCAUGGCAGUGUUCUGGCCAAGAUGGUACGACACAUAGUUGCUCGCCCAAUGAAGGGAAUGUUGAUCUGGUAACAAUCCUUAUCUGAUCUUUUGUCAUAACUGGCCAACUGAGUUUAGUACUCCCUCCUUACCAAAUAUAAGAUGUUUUUGCAGUUCAAAUUGAACUACAAAAACGUCUUAUAUUUUGAUACAUAGGUAGUAGCUUCCAUAGAAAAUGCAUACAUGAUGUCCAAGGAUGCUACUUGGCAUUUCCGUCUAGAGGCUCACAUGUUGCUUGAUAUCUUCUCAUGUUCGAGACCUGCUUAGCACCUCCGUUUAGAGGCACCGCGCGAUUGUUAUUUGGUCAAUACAGUCAUUUUAUGACUCUGGCAUUAUCGUAUUGGACCGGGGAUUGUUUACUGUACAAUAAUAAUUGUACAUAGCUUCUGUCAAAUAAUCGACCACUCAGUUUGAUGCUGAUGAAUCUGAAUCACAACUUCUGUUGAAUUCCGGUCGUUAGAGAUACAGCAAGAAUUUCGAUUUGGCAGGUCCCUCACGGAGACACUGGAGGAGAUGGUGUGCUCAACCUGAGUUCGCCUUCAGCAUCCUCCUAUAGUUUGACAAGUCCAUGAGUGCCACGCCUACAGCCCCAGGUCAAGAGCAAUGCCUUCUUCAAGGUGCCAACCAAAAUGACACCUCUCCACACAUUUAUCACUGUAUUGUACAGAGAACCAAGUGCCCUGACCUACGCUAUAAAGAGAUCAUGUGAAAACAAAGCUGAAGUUGUUGCUCGGGAUGAGAAGGAAAGUGAUCUUUGAGCAACACUAGAUCUAGACCAAGAACCACUGGCUGACUUAGAACACGAGUUAGUCGAUUGUUGUGAUAACAGUAAGGGUUGAGAGUGAGCGGGGAGAAGGUUAGAGUUUGUCUGUUCAGUUACAGUUCUGAGCAGAAUAAUUUUUCUAUUUUAGAAAAUGUGGCAAAUUGCAUUUCAUCAGAGAUGGCUUUGCUGUAAAUUGCAUGAUUGAGAGGUUUUUAUAUAUUUUUCAUCAAGUCGUACAAUUUUUUUCUUUGGAUAGAAAGGUAAAUGCAUAGGUAGGUUGAUUCAAGAGUUAAUAAUGGACAUCAUGGCGUAUCAGUUGCAUGGA